AAGUGUUACAGCUAUUUUAGAAUUUGUUUAGCAGGCUUUCUGGUUUUUACUGGAAAGCCCCU
ensembl:snRNA U7 U7 small nuclear RNA